rnacentral:rRNA from 1 species
AUUGAACGCUGGCGCCAGGCUUAACACAUGCAAGUCGAUCGAGUGGCGGACGGGUGAGUAAUGCUUGGGAAUCUGGCUUAUGGAGGGGGAUCACGACGGGAAACUGUCGCUAAUACCGCGUACUAUAGGAUGAGCCCAAGUGGGCUUAGGUAGCUGGUGGGGUAAUGGCCUACCAAGCCGUCGACCUCUAGCUGGUCUGAGGGGAUGACAAGGCGCGCCGGGACAGAGACACGGCCCGAACUCCUACGGAAGACAGCAAUGGGGAAUAUUGCGCAAUGGGGGCAACCAGACGCAGCCAUGCCGCAUGAAGGAAGAAGGCCUGCAGGUUGUAAAGUUAUUUCGGUGAGGAGGCGUUAAUCGCAGAAGAAGCACCGGCUCACUCCGAUCCAGCAGCCGCGGUAAUUC